UACCAAUGAGGAAAGCAAACAUCCUGUCUUACUCCUUGUUCUAACCUCAGAGCCAGUAAUGGUGAACCCACUGGGGCUAACCCGGAGAGAGGAUGAAAACUUGUUCCAUAAGGAACUGUCUGAGAUAC